UUCGCUGGGGAGUAACUAGGGGAAACCGUUAAGCUAAUACCGAAUGGUCCGCUCCGGGCUGAGGCCUGGAUCGGUAAAGCCGUAAGGCGCGAAUGGAGGUGGUCCAAAUCCCAUUAGCUAGUUGGUAGAGUAAAAGCCUACCAAGGCCACGAUGGGUAGCUGGUUUGAGAGAAUGAUCAGCCACACUGGUACUGGAACACGGACCAG
rnacentral:rRNA from 1 species